rnacentral:misc_RNA from 1 species
GAUGAAGAACGUAGCGAAAUGCGAUAAGUAAUGUGAAUUGCAGAAUUCAGUGAAUCAUCGAAUCUUUGAACGCAUAUUGCGCCCCUUGGUAUUCCGAGGGGCAUGCCUGUUCGAGCGUCAUUAUAACCCCUCAAGCUCAGCUUGGUGUUGGGGCCUGCUGCACUGGCAGCCCUUAAAAUCAGUGGCGGCGCCAUCUGGCUCUAAGCGUAGUAAUUCUUCUCGCUAUGGAGUCCUGGUGGAUGCUUGCCAUCAACCCCCAAUUUUUCUAUGGUUGACCUCGGAUCAGGUAGGGAUACCCGCUGAACUUAAGCAUAUCAAUAAGCGGAGGA